UACAGAGGGGGCAAGCGUUGUUCGGAAUUACUGGGCGUAAAGGGCGCGUAGGCGGCGCGGUAAGUCAACUUGUGAAAUCUCUGAGCUUAACUCAGAACGGCCAAGUGAUACUGCAGUGCUAGAGUGUGGAAGGGGCAAUCGGAAUUCUUGGUGUAGCGGUGAAAUGCGUAGAUAUCAAGAGGAACACCCUGAGGUGAAGACGGGUUGCUGGGCUGACACUGACGCUGAGGCGCGAAAGCCAGGGGAGCAAACAGG
rnacentral:rRNA from 1 species